rnacentral:rRNA from 1 species
AAAGAAACUAACAAGGAUUCCCCUAGUAACGGCGAGUGAAGUGGGAAAAGCUCAACUUUGUAAUCUGGCAGCUUUGCUGUCCGAGUUGUAGUCUCGAGAAGUGUUUUCCGCGCUGGAUCGUGUAUGAGUCUGUUGGAAUACAGCGUCAUAGAGGGUGAGAACCCCGUUCGUGACACGACUACCAGUGCUUUGUGAUACAUUUUCGAUGAGUCGAGUUGUUUGGGAAUGCAGCUCAAAUUGGGUGGUAAAUUCCAUCUAAAGCUAAAUAUUGGCGAGAGACCGAUAGCAAACAAGUACCGUGAGGGAAAGAUGAAAAGCACUUUGGAAAGAGAGUUAACAGUACGUGAAAUUGUUGAAAGGGAAACGUUUGAAGUCAGACGUGCGUUGUGCGAUUCAGCUCCGGUUCGCCGGAGUGUAUUUCGUACUAUUGCAGGCCAGCAUCGGUUUGGCGAGUCGGAUAAAGGUUAGAGAAAGGUAGCGGCUCCGGCCGUGUUAUAGUCUUUAACUGAAUACGAAUUGCUAGACCGAGGGACGCAGCGCGCCGCAAGGCAAAGCUCUCGGGCUUUUCGCGCUUAGGAUGCUGGUGAAAUGGGCUUUAAAUGACCCGUCU